AGAGACAAAAAAAAGAUUAAUUACAAGAGGCGGGCCUCCACGUGAUGUAUCGGCGGUCGACCAAUCGAGCACAUUCUCAGGAUAUCAGCUGACCAUUCUGGAGAUCUCAUCAUUUUGACCAUCAUUGAAGACACUGGAGUGGGGAUGAGUGGACGUGUUGGAAAAUGCCCCUGUGUUAUCCACUGUAUUUUUUCUUAUUCAGAAGUACAGUAGGUAGCAGAAAGGCAAAGAGGCAGGCGUGCGGAGGUCCGAUGGAGAAAAUAUAUAAAAGCUCUACAUGACAGUAUCGACAACAGUCACAAGAAAGACCUGAACUUGGACGGUAGUCAGAUGACCAGCAACAACAGCUUUAAAAUACAACCUACUAGUCUAUCACCUCAGCAAAACGGGAACCAAUGUAUAUGUAGUCUUGACAAUCAGUCUAUAGUUCCAGGACUGGUUCUGUGGUACUAAUAGCCAUGCAUACAACUUGUUACAAGAUUGACAGAAAUACAAAACAGAGAGUUUAUCCUUGAAUGUAUUACCAAGAUUCACUGUUACAGACAAACAUCCAAAGUUAUAAAGCAAAAAGAAAUGUCCUGUUCUGCAAGCUUUAUAUAGUGGAUAUAUUUGUGUCUUCAGAUGUAAUAAAAGUAUGUUUGAUGUGUACGUUGAUGAAAUAAAGGUAUAGAUAAUUGUG